rnacentral:snRNA from 1 species
AUGCCUGCCUCGACUGCACAAGUACUCAAAUUAAAAUGAUAAUACAGAGAUUAGCAUGGCCCCUGCACAAGAAUGACACAUAAAUUUGUGGUGUUCUGUAUGAAAAA